rnacentral:rRNA from 1 species
GAUGAACGCUGGCGGCGUGCCUAACACAUGCAAGUCGAACGGAGUCGUUUUGGAAAUCUCUUCGGAGAUGGAAUUCUCGACUUAGUGGCGGACGGGUGAGUAACGCGUGAGCAAUCUGCCUUUAAGAGGGGGAUAACAGUCGGAAACGGCUGCUAAUACCGCAUAAAGCAUUAAAUUCGCAUGUUUUUGAUGCCAAAGGAGCAAUCCGCUUUUAGAUGAGCUCGCGUCUGAUUAGCUAGUUGGCGGGGUAACGGCCCACCAAGGCGACGAUCAGUAGCCGGACGGAGAGGUUGAACGGCCACAUUGGGACUGAGACACGGCCCAGACUCCUACGGGAGGCAGCAGUGGGGAAUAUUGCGCAAUGGGGGAAACCCUGACGCAGCAACGCCGCGUGAUUGAAGAAGGCCUUCGGGUUGUAAAGAUCUUUAAUCAGGGACGAAACAAAUGACGGUACCUGAAGAAUAAGCUCCGGCUAACUACGUG